AUUUAUAAAUAUUAUAAAUAUUAUAUCUAACAUAAUGAGUAUCUAUAAUAUAAUAUAUUAUAGAUACUCAUUAUGCGUGUCUUCUCGUGCGUUAUAACGCACGUAAUUUUAAUCCUCGUGUGGGACAUUAGGGGGGGUCUUAAAAACUCGAUUCUCUUUACUAAACAUCAUCAUACAACAAGUUUUUAUCCUGGGGUGGGUACCCUUUUAAGGCACUUCUUACAUCAAGCAACAAACACAAACACCAAACCUCCUGACCUCCGAACUCGACAACUCAAACUCAACAACUCAAACUCAACAACUCAACUCCUGACCUCCGAACUCAACAACUCAACUCCUCAACUUUCAACUCAACCUACCCAUUCCUUGUUCCUAUUUCCAAAUUUCCUAGUUCCGAUUUCCCUCUCCUCUAAUUCCUAGUUUCAGUUUCGACCCUUCUCUUCUCCCCUCCGUGGUCCCCUUGCCGGAUCGGGGACCACUUCGGCCUCGCUUCGCUCCUUUUCUCUCAAGGUUUCUCAAAAAAGAAAAAGAAAUUACGUAAGUGAGCACAGAAACUUCUACCUUCAUCCGAAGUGGGAGCUCUAAAGGCUGUGCUUGGGGUAUCUUUCGAGAAUUGAUACCCCGGGGAAGUGGUAUUGGUGACACCACUUCCCUAUGCCCAUGUUGACCGACGUUGGCUCCAUACGGAGGGAACGGGGGAUUCUUUUGGUUGGGGAAUGUUUUUUGCUUAACACAUCAAAUCACAAAAAAACAUCCCCCUUAAGAAUCCCCCUCCGGUGGUGAAACAGAGAGAGACUGGCCCUUUAGGGACCAGUCUUUCCUUUAAUAAAUAUAACUCUCUCUAUUAUAAUAGAGAGAGCUAUAUUUAUUAUGUUAAUAAAUAGAUAUCUCUAUAUUAUAAUAUAGAGAUAUCUAUUUAUUAUGUAUUUAUAUAUUAUAAAAAUAUAUAAAUAUUAAAUUUAAAUAUUUAAAAUAAAUAUUAAAAUUAAAAAAAAAUAUUUAUAAAUAUUAUAAAUAUUAUAUCUAACAUAAUGAGUAUCUAUAAUAUAAUAUAUUAUAGAUACUCAUUAUGCGUGUCUUCUCGUGCGUUAUAACGCACGUAAUUUUAAUCCUCGUGUGGGACAUUAGGGGGGGUCUUAAAAACUCGAUUCUCUUUACUAAACAUCAUCAUACAACAAGUUUUUAUCCUGGGGUGGGUACCCUUUUAAGGCACUUCUUACAUCAAGCAACAAACACAAACACCAAACCUCCUGACCUCCGAACUCGACAACUCAAACUCAACAACUCAAACUCAACAACUCAACUCCUGACCUCCGAACUCAACAACUCAACUCCUCAACUUUCAACUCAACCUACCCAUUCCUUGUUCCUAUUUCCAAAUUUCCUAGUUCCGAUUUCCCUCUCCUCUAAUUCCUAGUUUCAGUUUCGACCCUUCUCUUCUCCCCUCCGUGGUCCCCUUGCCGGAUCGGGGACCACUUCGGCCUCGCUUCGCUCCUUUUCUCUCAAGGUUUCUCAAAAAAGAAAAAGAAAUUACGUAAGUGAGCACAGAAACUUCUACCUUCAUCCGAAGUGGGAGCUCUAAAGGCUGUGCUUGGGGUAUCUUUCGAGAAUUGAUACCCCGGGGAAGUGGUAUUGGUGACACCACUUCCCUAUGCCCAUGUUGACCGACGUUGGCUCCAUACGGAGGGAACGGGGGAUUCUUUUGGUUGGGGAAUGUUUUUUGCUUAACACAUCAAAUCACAAAAAAACAUCCCCCUUAAGAAUCCCCCUCCGGUGGUGAAACAGAGAGAGACUGGCCCUUUAGGGACCAGUCUUUCCUUUAAUAAAUAUAACUCUCUCUAUUAUAAUAGAGAGAGCUAUAUUUAUUAUGUUAAUAAAUAGAUAUCUCUAUAUUAUAAUAUAGAGAUAUCUAUUUAUUAUGUAUUUAUAUAUUAUAAAAAUAUAUAAAUAUUAAAUUUAAAUAUUUAAAAUAAAUAUUAAAAUUAAAAAAAAAUAUUUAUAAAUAUUAUAAAUAUUAUAUCUAACAUAAUGAGUAUCUAUAAUAUAAUAUAUUAUAGAUACUCAUUAUGCGUGUCUUCUCGUGCGUUAUAACGCACGUAAUUUUAAUCCUCGUGUGGGACAUUAGGGGGGGUCUUAAAAACUCGAUUCUCUUUACUAAACAUCAUCAUACAACAAGUUUUUAUCCUGGGGUGGGUACCCUUUUAAGGCACUUCUUACAUCAAGCAACAAACACAAACACCAAACCUCCUGACCUCCGAACUCGACAACUCAAACUCAACAACUCAAACUCAACAACUCAACUCCUGACCUCCGAACUCAACAACUCAACUCCUCAACUUUCAACUCAACCUACCCAUUCCUUGUUCCUAUUUCCAAAUUUCCUAGUUCCGAUUUCCCUCUCCUCUAAUUCCUAGUUUCAGUUUCGACCCUUCUCUUCUCCCCUCCGUGGUCCCCUUGCCGGAUCGGGGACCACUUCGGCCUCGCUUCGCUCCUUUUCUCUCAAGGUUUCUCAAAAAAGAAAAAGAAAUUACGUAAGUGAGCACAGAAACUUCUACCUUCAUCCGAAGUGGGAGCUCUAAAGGCUGUGCUUGGGGUAUCUUUCGAGAAUUGAUACCCCGGGGAAGUGGUAUUGGUGACACCACUUCCCUAUGCCCAUGUUGACCGACGUUGGCUCCAUACGGAGGGAACGGGGGAUUCUUUUGGUUGGGGAAUGUUUUUUGCUUAACACAUCAAAUCACAAAAAAACAUCCCCCUUAAGAAUCCCCCUCCGGUGGUGAAACAGAGAGAGACUGGCCCUUUAGGGACCAGUCUUUCCUUUAAUAAAUAUAACUCUCUCUAUUAUAAUAGAGAGAGCUAUAUUUAUUAUGUUAAUAAAUAGAUAUCUCUAUAUUAUAAUAUAGAGAUAUCUAUUUAUUAUGUAUUUAUAUAUUAUAAAAAUAUAUAAAUAUUAAAUUUAAAUAUUUAAAAUAAAUAUUAAAAUUAAAAAAAAAUAUUUAUAAAUAUUAUAAAUAUUAUAUCUAACAUAAUGAGUAUCUAUAAUAUAAUAUAUUAUA
rnacentral:lncRNA from 1 species